GCGCUGUCAGUCUGAGUGAGUGGCAGGUGACCGCGCUGUCAGUCUGACCCUCCCUUCGCUUGAGAAGGUAAAUUCUGGAAUCUCCCAACCAGGGGGUUCUUGGAGUCCCUGAGUCAUGGCAUCGUGGUGCUGGGAGAGCCCUGGAGACCAGGCCCGCUGGUCUCUGUCACAGCUCUUCUGGAAGAAGCCACAGACAAUGCUCCCACGAAUGGGCAUGGCUGUGU